UACAGUAACGUUAUGUGGAGAAGAGAGGAGAGUGAUUGCGAAUAAAUGUACACUUAGUUCAGUACAUCAUGGAUCUACAAAGUGAUAUCAACAAAAUUAAUUUAUUCAUAGCUAAGCUAGUUUUAGCACUGCAGUAGACAUAACAGUGAUAGACACAUGAUUUGAGAAUAUUUAAGACUUUUGACAAUAGAAAAAUACUUCCCUAGAUCAACUGUCUACUACAUAGUGAAUGCUCUAGGAAAGACUACAGAAAUACAAAACAGAUUGUCAUAUCAGUAACAGUGUGACAACUCUUAAAUUUCAAAAUGCGGCCAACACAGUUCUGUUAUGUGGAGAAGAGAGGAGAAUGAUUGCGAAUUAAUGUACACUUAGUUCAGUGCAUCAUGGAUCUACAAAGUAAUAUCAUCAAAAUUUAUUUUUUCAUAGCUAAGCCAUUUUAAGCACUGCAGUAGACAGAACAAUGAUAGUCACGUGGUUUGAGACUAAGUAAGACUUAAGACAAUAGAAAAAACUUCCUGAAAUCAGCUGUCUACUACAUAGUGAAUGAUAUGGGAAAUGCUACAGAAAUAUAAAAACAGGUCUACUACAUCGUGAAUGCUCUAGGAAAGGCUACAGAAAUAUGAAACCAGGUGUGUCCCUUCAGGAACAGUGUGACAAUUCUUAAAUUUGAACAUGCGGCUAACACAGUUCUGUUAUGUGGAGAAGAGAGGAGAAUGAUUGCGAAUUAAUGUACACUUAGUUCAGUGCAUCAUGGAUCUACAAAGUAAUACAAACAAAAUUUAUCUAUUCAUAGCAAAGCCAUUUUUAGCACUGCAGUAGACAGAACAUUGAUAAACACAUGAUUUUAGACUAUUAAAGACUUUUGACAAUAGAAAAAUACUUCCCGAGAUCAGCUGUAAGUGCUUAUACAUCACACAUAAAACAAUAUACUAAAGUAUUUUUGUAGGCUGUUGGAUAAGACAUACAUUUACACCAGUAAACUCAAACAAUAGCGUUUCUUCAAUGUGAGCACAGUUAUUUAAAAAAAAAUUAUAAUGAGUAAUGUGUUCAAAGCAGUUUGACGGAAAAUGACACAAAUCUUGCGUAAUAAAAGAAUUCAAUCUGAGUAAAAAAAUUGAAAUAUCUUCUUUCCAAUAUCUGGUUAAAGAUGGCAGGAACAAGUUGUGAUGUACCAGAACACAUGUCCCACACAGAAAAUUUGUUAUAGUUAAGUAAUAAAACAUAUAAUUGCA